rnacentral:misc_RNA from 1 species
ACCCACCUGUCCUCUGUAAGAUUGCAUAGGUACGAUUUCUUUGUUUCUUCUUUUCUAUUCUUCUUUGAAUUUUCAUAUGAAACUGGUAUUCAAUUCUUCGAGGUUAACUCAGGCGCACACCCAUUUGAGUAGGGCACACCCCCAUUUGAGUAACAUCGUUGUCGAGUCCCGGCAUUAGUCCAAAAAGCUGGGAACUUUUCCCCAGGAAGUUAUGAAUAGGGAGAAGCUUAUGAAGAUGGCUGGUGCAGUUCGCACUGGUGGGGAGGGCAGCAUGAG